rnacentral:piRNA from 1 species
UCAGGAACACGCAUUGAUAAC